UGAGAUAUGGACAGGUGAGGCGCAGGUGAGCAGCAGCCGCUCACCUGCCAGCACCCACAGCGUGCCGUUCACCACCGGGGUGCGCGGGGCGUCUGUGGGACAGGUGAGACAGGUGAGAUAUGGACAGGUGAGACAGGUGGGACAGGUGGGACAGGUGAGAUAUGGACAGGUGAGACAGGUGAGACAGGUGAGACAGGUGAGACAGGUGGGAUAUGGACAGGUGAGACAGGUGAGACAGGUGAGACAGGUGAGACAGGUGGGAUAUGGACAGGUGAGACAGGUGAGACAGGUGAGACAGGUGGGAUAUGGACAGGUGAGCAGCAGCCGCUCACCUGCCAGCACCCACAGCGUGCCGUUCACCACCGGGGUGCGCGGGGCGUCUGUGGGACAGGUGAGAUAUGGACAGGUGAGACAGGUGAGACAGGUGAGAUAUGGACAGGUGAGACAGGUGAGACAGGUGAGGGACAGGUGAGACAGGUGAGACAGGUGAGGAACAGGUGAGACAGGUGAGACAGGUGACACAGGUGAGGUAUGGACAGGUGAGACAGGUGAGAUGCAGGUGACACAUGGACAGGUGAGAUACAGGUGGGAUAUGGACAGGUGAGAUACAGGUGUUGGGACAGGUGACAGAGCUAGGACAUGCACAGGUGAGGCAGGUGGGACAGGUAUGGAGAGGGUCCCUGUUGUGUGUCCAGCUGCCCCCAGGUGUGCCCAGGUGAGGUAAAAGUGGGGUUCAGGUGUGCCCAGGUGAGGUUAAAGUGGGAUUAAAUGGGGCUCAGGUGUGCCCAGGUGAGGUUAAAGUGGGGCUCAGGUGUGCCCAGGUGCCCCCAGGUGUGCCCAGGUGAGGUUAAAGUGGGGUUCAGGUGCCCCCAGGUGUGCCCAGGUGUGCCCAGGUGUGCCCAGGUGCCCCCAGGUGUGGGUUCAGGUGUGCCCAGGUGCCCCCAGGUGCCCCCAGGUGCGCCCAGGUGUG
rnacentral:lncRNA from 1 species